rnacentral:lncRNA from 1 species
CUUUGUCCUACUUUUCUCUCCUCUGGUCUGUCUUGUCUCUCUCUGUCUUUUCUGUCUGUCCUUUUCAUGUCUCAAUCUCUACAGAACCUCCACCAGCUAAAACAGAUUCAAACCUUGAAGCAGAUGAACGAGCAACUGCAGGCUGAGAACAGGGCCCUGACCCGAGUGGUGGCCAGACUCUCGGAGUCCAUCGAGUCCUCGGACACCCAGGAGCUCUAGUUCUUGCCCCUACUCUCCAACUCACUUCCCUCCUCCACUACUCCAGGCAGGUUCAGUCUUCUUGUUAGUCCCAGAAGCUCUGUGCUCAUCCCCUCCAUCCGAGCCUCCAUAUGCAGGUUCCUGCAAAGCUUGGUUAUCUGCAGAUGGAAGCAGCCAGGACUGAGAUCAUAGAAUGGGACAUACCAGCCUAGGUCAAGGGAGGCAGUGAGAGAGACCUCAGCUGGGCUACCAAUAUAUUCAUUUGGUAAGGUCACCACAUUAGCUUCUCUUCCCCUGGAGACUGAGUAUGAAUUUGUUCACUCAGCUACACAUAGGUAUACACGUGUAUGUGCAUAUACCUGUGUACAUGCACAUAUACAUAUUUCAUUGACGGGGUCAUUGCCAGAUGGAAAUUGAUCUUUCUUAGCCAAUAGCAACCCAAGUCCAACCCACUCCCCUGGAGCAACUGGGGUUGGGCCUUGGGUAACCAAGGGCAGGGGCUCUCAAUCUUGGCUGCAAGAAACAUCUAGGAGCUUUUAACGUAUACCUAUGGGUAUAUUUUAAACAUAUACAUAGCUUUUAACAUAUACAUAUAGGGAUGUCUGGGUCCAUCCCCAAAUAAUCAGUGGUCUGGGUUGAGACCCAGGCAUCAGUAUUUUUUCAAACCUCUCCUAUUGAUUCCUUAUACAACCAUGGUUAAGAACCACAGCCCUUUGGAUACCAGACAGUCCUCACGGCUGACAACAUUACCGAUGGAGAGGACUAAAACUCAAGGUUGGAACUGUUCCUGUCCAGCUCCACUACCAGCAAAAACACUCUGCAUCCCAUUAUUCAAGCAUAAUUGGAUAAGCAUUCUUUGCCUCCUUCUGCAGUAGUCUUUGCUUUCUUCUCCCACCUUAGGAGGCAUAUCUCUCAUUCCCGUCACAAAUCUUUGGGCCCUAGGGAUGUGCCCCUCCCUGUCCUUAGUGUGUGGGCUGUGAGGCAGAACACAGCCUAUAUAAAUGAGACCCUCAUGGAGCCAGGCCCUCUCUAAUGAGGCCAGCUUUGCAAAGGAUAUGGCAGGCAGUGGAGCAGAGAGCAAGGAUUUAUUUUCAACUGAGAACCAAAAAUGUGCUUGGCAAACUGGAUCCUUUCCCUAGCUAUGGAUCUGAAAGACAAGCUCACAGACAACUGGUUUUUCUAUCUCAAGAUGGUAUGAUGGGGUCACCACUCCUCUGAGAUGAAUUUUUAAUUGUCAGCAACAAUCUAAUUAGUCCUGACCAGAGCCUGUUCUUUCUUUCAGCCUAUUUGCUUUUGCCUUCAGGGUUAGUAGCUGGCAACUAAUAUCCACUAGAACUGAAUCACCCGAAUUAUCAUAGGGCUGAGCUAAUAUCCUGCUGUAGAUGCUAUCAUAGGCAGAAAGAAAAUUGAAAGGCAAGUUCUACCAUGGCCUGGCUGUAAGCAGCCACUGUUAGGUCCAGACUCCAUGCUUUAAAGUUAGCCUCAAGAUUCCUGGAAAUUUUUACUUAGGCUAAACUAGGGACCCCCCAAAAGGUGUCCCAGUUAUUUUUAGUAUCCCUUUGUUGCAAGAUAGUAUAGGAUAUGGGGCAAAACUAGAUCUCAUGCUUUCAGUAGUUAAUAACCUUAACAGUUGUCAUUUAUUUAAGGCCUGUGCUGAAUGCUUUAUAUAGUUUUUCUCAUUUAUUCCCCAAAACAAUUAUUGUAAAAAUGAAAAAAAAAAAACUGAGUCACAGAUUAAAUAACUUGCCCAAGGUCACUCCGAGAGUAAGUGGUAGAACCAAAAUUCAAACCAAAUAUGUCAGGUUCCAGAGUGCAAACUUUUCACCACUGUAAUAUAAGCUGUCUGCAUAUUUGGCACAGUUUUCACCAUUUGUUAAGCAUGUGGCCCAAACAAUGCAAGAAGGAUCUAUUGAGCAACUACACUGUGCCCCCAGCAUUGCAGCUGAGGGAGGAAGGGCAGCAUUCUGCUUUCUGAGCACUGUGACUUCCUUGUCAAAGCCUAACUUCUAAAGAGCCAUUUACCUACCAAAAGAUUUUGCUGCUGUAAAGAAAGCCAUUGCCUGGUACAUGACCAUAGCAAGGGUUAGCAAACUGUGACCCACCACCAGUAUGGCCCAUAAGCCAUACAAAUAGUC